GGCGGACUGGCAGAAUGGUAAUGCGUAGCUCUCCUAUAAAGGCAGCUCAAGCUAAGAUUGUGGGUUCGAGUCCCACGUUCGUCG